GAUGAACGCUGGCUACAGGCUUAACACAUGCAAGUCGAGGGGAAACGACAGGGAAGCUUGCUUCCUUGGGCGUCGACCGGCGCACGGGUGAGUAACGCGUAUCCAACCUGCCUCUGACUGAGGGAUAACCCGUCGAAAGUCGGCCUAAUACCUCAUGGCAUCGUCUGCGGGCAUCCAACGACGAUUAAAGAUUUCAUCGGUCAGGGAUGGGGAUGCGUCUGAUUAGCUUGUUGGCGGGGUAACGGCCCACCAAGGCUACGAUCAGUAGGGGUUCUGAGAGGAAGGUCCCCCACAUUGGAACUGAGAUACGGUCCAAACUCCUACGGGAGGCAGCAGUGAGGAAUAUUGGUCAAUGGGCGAGAGCCUGAACCAGCCAAGUAGCGUGCAGGAUGACGGCCCUAUGGGUUGUAAACUGCUUUUAUGCGGGGAUAAAGUGAGGGACGUGUCCUUCAUUGCAGGUACCGCAUGAAUAAGGACCGGCUAAUUCCGUGCCAGCAGCCGCGGUAAUACGUAGGGGGCUAGCGUUGUCCGGAAUCACUGGGCGUAAAGGGUUCGCAGGCGGAAAUGCAAGUCAGGUGUAAAAGGCAGUAGCUUAACUACUGUAAGCAUUUGAAACUGCAUAUCUUGAGAAGAGUAGAGGUAAGUGGAAUUUUUAGUGUAGCGGUGAAAUGCGUAGAUAUUAAAAAGAAUACCGGUGGUGAAGGCGACUUACUGGGCUCAUUCUGACGCUGAGGAACGAAAGCGUGGGUAGCAAACAGG
rnacentral:rRNA from 1 species